CGCGGUGAAUACGUUCCCGGACCUUGUACACACCGCCCGUCAAGCCAUGGAAGCUGGGUGUACCUAAAGUCGGUAACCGUAAGGAGCCGCCUAGGGUAAAACUGGUAACUGGGGCU
rnacentral:rRNA from 1 species